rnacentral:lncRNA from 1 species
AUCUGUGCGUGUUUAACUGGACUGAUUGAAGGAUGUAGGUAUUUCUUACAGCAGGAUGUUGUCUGGGUUGUAUUGGUGAGAUAAAGUUUUCUUGUUUGUAGACUAGAAGAUAUGGAGGAGAAGUAUCUAAUGAGAGAAUCGAGGCCAGAAGACCUACAGAUGAUUGCAGAGCUAAAAUCCCUGCUUACAGAACGAGACCAGGUCAUAAAGAAACUCAUUCAAAAGAAGAAGAAUGAUAAGUCGCCAGCAAACAGGUUUGUGAGUGUUCCCAAUCUAAGUGCUCUGGAAUCCGGUGGAAUGGGCAAUGGACAUCCUACCCGCCUGGAACCCAUUCCCAAUUCUCCAGCCCAUGAUGUUGAGUUCAACAGCAACAAGCCUCUUCCACAGCCAUUGCCACCCAAAGAGCCCAAGACGUUUUUGAGGUGAGCCGUGUCUCACCAGUAGUUCUUUUUCCCUUUUUCUCCUCAUUUUUAACUUAAGAAAUUUAUUUCCCUUUUUACAUUACAGAAAUCCACUACUC